rnacentral:misc_RNA from 1 species
GGGGCGUUGGUGCUUGGUGGGGAGGUUUGUCUGGGCAGAUCAUUCAAGAGAAAGGCAUUACAUGUUGUGUUGUUGCUAAAAGAAAUGCUAUGCUUUUAUGCUUAGACCUUUCCAAGAAAUCAAUUGGCUUCUGGCCAUUUCACCCUUUGAUAUUUUCUCAUAGAGAUAAAUCACUGUCAUAGGGUUGCUCAAUUUGCAAUGGUUUCACAGUGAAUAGUGCAACAUUUAAAAUUAAAAAAAGAAAAAUUACUGUUCUCUUAUCAUGUCUCUAAAUCAAAAGGAACAUUGUUUAACACUCAACUCCACUUCAUAUGAGUUUAAUAGAAGGCCUGAUAUUGUGUAGGAGUAACAUUUUAGACCUAAACUUAAGCAUGCAAUAACUGUUUUGUGUAUUUGGUUGUGUCUACAAAUGAGGGGCUGUUAAUUUGUUAUUGUGAUGGGUGAUAAAAGUGGCAGUGGUAGCAAUGGUGGUGUUGGUACCUAGGAUACAGUAUUACAGUUUGCCUAUACGAGCAGGAAUGAAUCACAUAUAAAACUCUGAAUUUAUUGCCCCUGGAGGACAAUUUCAGAACUCAUUUUGGGUUCACAAUGAUUAAAAAAUUUGAGUUCAUCUCAACCCAUGAGCCAAAGUUUGCCCAACAUCAUGCUUGAUAAUGGAAAGAAUGCUAGGUGGUUCUCUUAUGUAAGGGGAUCCUCUCAUGGAGUCAUACCAAAACAAUGUGGGACAACUAACAUGUAUAUGGUAUGUGCGUGAAUAUUCACAUACAUACACACACAAAUUCAUGCGUGCAUGCAUACACACAUACAUAGACUAUCUAGACUUCGUAUUAAUCUAAAGAUCAAUUUUCUCACAUUCCCAAGCCAGCUUUUGCAUUGUGCAUUCUAUGCUGGUAUUUCAAUAAUAUUUCAUUUUCUUUUACCAUAGUAUGAAUGCAGCUAUAUUUGGACCGCAGCUAUAUUUGGAUCAAUAUUUAGGCAAUAAUAAUGUGAUAUUUUAUCUGUUAUUUCUAGUGAUGAAAUAAAAUUGGAAAAGUAUCAUGUUUAGCCAAAAAACUUUAGAAAUAGUUCAGAUGCGUUAGCAGAUUUUUGUCAAUGCAUGCAUGCAUUUGUUGACUUUGUCUUGUAUAACAUGUUAUUGUUUCUUAAUCUUGUUUUGUAUAUGGUUUUUCCUGAACUUUUUCUAUGGAAGAUAGAACACCUAAUUAGAACUCUAAUUCUUUGCUUACAUAUGCUCUCUCUUAUACAUUACACAAUAGAAAUUUAUUUGUAAUGCAUGAAUUAGCAUGAAGUCCCAGUAAUGUCUAGUUCUGGAGUCUCUGUAUGAGAGAUCUUUUCCACCUUUGCAUGAUUUCAUUGGCUGAAAGAUAAAGGAUAUCUUAAUUGAUAUAUGUUUUGAAGUCACAGGGUGUCCUUUAAUCUUAACUUGAAAGGCCUCUGUCAUUCAUAUUGUCACUGAUGAAUUUUCUGAUUUCAUCAAUUUAUCUGGAGGUUUAAGUU